rnacentral:tRNA from 1 species
GGGGAGGUCGCAUAGUGGUCGAGUGCAGAGCGGUGCUAACGCUCCAGGUCUCGUAAGGGGCCUCGAGGGUUCGAAUCCCUCCCUCCCCG